UCGACUUCCAUAAAACCCUAGCCUCCAUUACUCCUUAUAUAAAUGAGUUCUUUCAUUGCUCACAUUAUACCCCAAUGGGUACUAGGUUUUCUCUACUUGUCUCGCCGAUUAUUUGAUUAGAUAUGGCAGCCGUUUCUUAUAAUUUGUUUUUUUGGGCCGAUGAUGAUGUAGUUUUGCGUUAAUGAUCAAAAUGAUGAUUACGACUAUACUACUGCCUUCCUUCUGAGGCUAUUUUUUAUUUAUUUUCUGAUCUGAGUCAUAUGAUGAUUAGAAGCAUAGUUCACAUGAAGUUAUUUGUGAUUAAUUUGUUUUUGUUUUAGUCUUUCGCUCCUAUGUGAUGACUCUCUUUGAAUCCAAAUAUUUAUUUGGUGCCGGGAUUGGUCUGUAAUGGUGUAAAUCCACCUGCCGACAAUUCUCUAUUUGUGUGAAGUAAAUUUCAGCACAAUCUUAAUUUUUGCGUGAUAAUUUAUAAAGCGAAGUGAUGAUAUAAAUUCAUUAGUCUGUCAAUCCACUGACAACUCAAUUGUGUGAUGUUAAUAGUGAAUCUCGACAGUGGAUGAGCGAGCUACAACUUGUUGAUUUUUGACGACAAUACACUGGAUUGGGCCCAAAGGAAACAAGAUAUCAUUGUGUGGAUAUUUUGUCAUUCACCUUGGCAUAAUCAACAUCCAUGUACAUGUAAAGAUCAUACCUUGAGUUUUGAAGAAUUCAAAGACCUGAAGUUAUCCUGGCUUUAAGAUACCGUAUUAUCCUUUUAACCGCUAUCUAGUAUUCAAUAGUGGGUUCAUUCAUAAUAUAUUUGUUUGUGUGAAUGAUAAAUAUUGUAACUUACCAAGGGUGAGCUUGUAGAAUGUAAGCUUUAGCAGGUGGAGAACCAUCAGUUGCCCGAGGUAGCUUACCAGAGCACAUUGGUGUCAAGACAAAUUUACAAUUUUUCAUAUCAAAUUCAGACAAAAUGCUAAGAAUGUAUUUGGAUUGAGAGAGAAUAAGACCAUCUUGCACUUUUCUAA